rnacentral:rRNA from 1 species
GACGAACGCUGGCGGCGUGCUUAACACAUGCAAGUCGUACGGUAAGGCCCUUUCGGGGGUACACGAGUGGCGAACGGGUGAGUAACACGUGAGUAACCUGCCCACAACUUUGGGAUAACGCUAGGAAACUGGUGCUAAUACUGGAUAUGUGCUCCUGCUGCACGGUGGGGGUUGGAAAGCUCCGGCGGUUGUGGAUGGACUCGCGGCCUAUCAGCUUGUUGGUGGGGUAGUGGCCUACCAAGGCGGCGACGGGUAGCCGGCCUGGGAGGGUGACCGGCCACAUUGGGACUGAGAUACGGCCCAGACUCCUACGGGAGGCAGCAGUGGGGAAUAUUGCACAAUGGGCGCAAGCCUGAUGCAGCAACGCCGCGUGCGGGAUGACGGCCUUCGGGUUGUAAACCGCUUUCAGCAGGGACGAAGCUUUUUGUGACGGUACCUGCAGAAGAAGCACCGGCUAACUACGUG